rnacentral:rRNA from 1 species
GGGAAAGCAGGGGAUCUUCGGACCUUGCGCUAUUGGAUGUGCCUAUGUCGGAUUAGCUAGUUGGUGGGGUAAAGGCCUACCAGGGCGACGAUCCGUAGCUGGUCUGAGAGGAUGAUCAGCCACAUCGGGACUGAGACACGGCCCGAACUCCUACGGGAGGCAGCAGUGGGGAAUAUUGGACAAUGGGGGCAACCCUGAUCCAGCCAUGCCGCGUGUGUGAAGAAGGCUUUCGGGUUGUAAAGCACUUUCAGUGAGGAGGAAAAGUUGGUCGUUAAUACCGUCCAGCCUUGACGUUACUCACAGAAGAAGCCCCGGGUGGGGUGGGGGGGCAGCAGCCGCGGUAAUACGGAGGGUGCAAGCGUUAAUCGGAAUUACUGGGGCGUAAAACGCGCGUAGGUGGUUUGAUAACCGAAAUGUGAAACCCCCGGGCUUAACCUGG